UUCUGAGACCGGUUCGGAGAAUCCGCGUGUAUAUGAUGAUAUUGGAAUAUUACCCAUUCAAUCCAUCACUAUAGUGCAGGGGCCUGGUGCCCUUGAGGAUUGCGAUUGUAUUCUGGCACUUUUGGAAGCGUACGGAUUGCCAAUAGCAAGAAGGCAGAGACUCGUAAAAUGGGGGGGGAGAACCUGCACCAGCACCACUGACAGAUGAAGAGGAGAUGGCCACAGUACCAAUAUUAAAAUU